rnacentral:rRNA from 1 species
GACGAACGCCGGCGGCGUGCCUAAUACAUGCAAGUCGAGCGAAUCAAAGGGAGCUUGCUCCCUGAGGUUAGCGGCGGACGGGUGAGUAACACGUGGGCAACCUGCCUAUAAGACUGGGAUAACUUCGGGAAACCGGAGCUAAUACCGGAUAAUUCAUAUCUACUCAUGUAGAUAUGCUGAAAGACGGUUUACGCUGUCACUUAUAGAUGGGCCCGCGGCGCAUUAGCUAGUUGGUGAGGUAACGGCUCACCAAGGCGACGAUGCGUAGCCGACCUGGGAGGGUGAUCGGCCACACUGGGACUGAGACACGGCCCAGACUCCUACGGGAGGCAGCAGUAGGGAAUCUUCCGCAAUGGACGAAAGUCUGACGGAGCAACGCCGCGUGAGUGAUGAAGGUUUUCGGAUCGUAAAACUCUGUUGUUAGGGAAGAACAAGUACUAGAGUAACUGCUAGUACCUUGACGGUACCUAACCAGAAAGCCACGGCUAACUACGUGCCAGCCGCCGCAGUAAAAC